rnacentral:pre_miRNA from 1 species
UCUUAUGGCUGAGCAAAGAAAGUGGUUUCUUGAGACAGAAUUGACUCCUGAUGAAGAUGCUGUGAA